rnacentral:rRNA from 1 species
UACAGAGGGGGCAAGCGUUAUUCGGAAUUAUUGGGCGUAAAGGGCGCGUAGGCGGCUUUUCAAGUGACGGGUGAAAUCCCUCGGCUUAACCGAGGAACUGCCUGUCAGACUGGAAGGCUUGAGACCGGGAGAGGUGAGUGGAAUUCCCAGUGUAGCGGUGAAAUGCGUAGAUAUUGGGAGGAACACCUGUGGCGAAGGCGACUUCCUGGCCUGUUCUUGACGCUGAGGCGCGAAAGCUAGGGGAGCAAACGGG